GUAAUACGGAGGGUGCAAGCGUUAAUCGGAAUUACUGGGCGUAAAGCGCACGCAGGCGGUUUGUUAAGUCAGAUGUGAAAUCCCCGGGCUCAACCUGGGAACUGCAUUUGAAACUGGCAAGCUUGAGUCUCGUAGAGGGGGGUAGAAUUCCAGGUGUAGCGGUGAAAUGCGUAGAGAUCUGGAGGAAUACCGGUGGCGAAGGCGGCCC
rnacentral:rRNA from 1 species